rnacentral:rRNA from 1 species
GAUGAACGCUGGCGGCGUGCUUAACACAUGCCAGUCGAACGGAAAGGCUCCUGCUUGCAGGGGUACUCGAGUGGCGAACGGGUGAGUAACACGUGGGUGAUCUGCCCUGCACUUCGGGAUAAGCCUGGGAAACUGGGUCUAAUACCGGAUAGGACGAUGGUUUGGAUGCCAUUGUGGAAAGUUUUUCGGUGUGGGAUGAGCUCGCGGCCUAUCAGCUUGUUGGUGGGGUAAUGGCCUACCAAGGCGUCGACGGGUAGCCGGCCUGAGAGGGUGUACGGCCACAUUGGGACUGAGAUACGGCCCAGACUCCUACGGGAGGCAGCAGUGGGGAAUAUUGCACAAUGGGCGCAAGCCUGAUGCAGCGACGCCGCGUGGGGGAUGCCGGCCUUCGGGUUGUAAACUCCUUUCGCUAGGGACGAAGCGCAAGUGACGGUACCUGGAGAAGAAGCACCGGCUAACUACGUG